rnacentral:rRNA from 1 species
AUUGAACGCUGGCGGCAUGCCUUACACAUGCAAGUCGAACGGUAACGCGGGGCAACCUGGCGACGAGUGGCGAACGGGUGAGUAAUGCAUCGGAACGUGCCCGGUAGUGGGGGAUAACUGCUCGAAAGAGCAGCUAAUACCGCAUACGACCUGAGGGUGAAAGGGGGGGAUCGCAAGACCUCUCGCUAUCGGAGCGGCCGAUGUCGGAUUAGCUAGUUGGUGGGGUAAAGGCCUACCAAGGCGACGAUCCGUAGCUGGUCUGAGAGGACGACCCGCCACACUGGGACUGAGACACAGCCCCGACUCCUUCGGGAGGCAGCAGUGGGGAAUUUUGGACAAUGGACGGAAGUCUGAUCCAGCCAUGCCGCGUGAGGGAAGAAGGCCUUCGGGUUGUAAACCGCUUUUGUCAGGGAAGAAAUCUUCUGAGUUAAUACCUCGGGAGGAUGACGGUACCUGAAGAAUAAGCACCGGCUAACUACGUGCCAGCCGCCGCAGUAACAC